rnacentral:tRNA from 1 species
GGGCCGGUAGUUCAGCCCGGUUCGAGAAACUCCCACGGAGAGAACGUCCGCCUUACACGCGGAAACCCACGAACGUUUCGGGCCGCAGGGUCGGGAGUUCAAAUCUCCCCCGGCCCA